rnacentral:rRNA from 1 species
UGGGGAAUAUUGGACAAUGGGCGCAAGCCUGAUCCAGCCAUGCCGCGUGAGUGACGAAGGCCUUAGGGUUGUAAAGCUCUUUUGGCGGGGACGAUAAUGACGGUACCCGCAGAAUAAGCCCCGGCUAACUUCGUGCCAGCAGCCGCGGUAAUACGAAGGGGGCUAGCGUUGUUCGGAAUCACUGGGCGUAAAGCGCACGUAGGCGGAUUAGUAAGUUAGGGGUGAAAUCCCGGGGCUCAACCUCGGAACUGCCUUUGAUACUGCUAGUCUAGAGUCCGAGAGAGGUGAGUGGAAUUCCUAGUGUAGAGGUGAAAUUCGUAGAUAUUAGGAAGAACACCAGUGGCGAAGGCGGCUCACUGGCUCGGUACUGACGCUGAGGUGCGAA